rnacentral:lncRNA from 1 species
AGCACCUUUUAUUCACAUAUUUCAAACCACAUACAGAGAAUCAUUUCACAAUUCAGCUCAGUACAGAAAAACUUAGCCCAACCAUCAACAAUAGUCCCUGUUUGGCCAAACAGAUCGUUCCUCCACGGUUCAGAACAGUUUUCAGCAUGGAUUCUGUUUGGGCAGACAGAUGCAACUUCCUCCAGAAUUCAAAUAGGAUGUAAUUCAAUUCAAACAUGCACAAUAGGGUCAAAGAGAGAGUCCAAAAUAGGCCUUGGCUAAUUAUUUUAGUGACUAACAAGAACAAAAAGGUUCAAAGCUUCAAACGAGGUUCACUAGGGGUUAAUGUUCAGGUAGGAAUUCAAAAGCAGGCCAAAAGGCUACCCUAGUGCCUUCUAUCAUGCAUCACCAAUGACUCACAACAUAUCACAACUUCAUGAAUAACAAACCACUCAAAAAGAAAAUUAGUAGAGAGUGCUCUACUCUAAUAAGCUCAAUUCUCACUUAUAUGUGGCUUUUUACUCAUUGUUGCUCUUAUUUGUCAUCCCAAAUUUCAUCCAACAAAAACACAAAAUUUUCAAUCUCAAAAUCUCAAUUCUCAAGUAUCAAAUCUCAAGUUCAUCACAUAACUCAACCGGGCAGCAUGCUUAUCACUAAUAUUUCAACAACACAAAGCUCAA